rnacentral:lncRNA from 1 species
CACUUUGCUUCUUGCUGUACAGACUGCUGCCACGCCGGCUGGCUAGGUCACUCUACAUAUCUUCUUCCAGGCCCCUUCCAGGUCCGUUUCAGGUCCUGUUCCUACUCCCCACCACCUAUCCUGAGGGUAUUCAUUGGCCUCAUCUAGAAACUUGAAAAGGCAGUGGGAUAGAAAAUCUUUUUUUUUCUGAGACAGGGUUUCUCUGUGGCUUUUGGAGGCUGUCCUGGAACAAGCUCUGUAGACCAAGCUGGUCUCGAACUCACAGAGAUCCAUCUGCCUCUGCCUCCCGAGUGCUGAGAUUAAAGGCAUGAGCCAUUCAGGAAGAAAAACAUGGAUGUGGUCCAACCAGUAAGACUCUUGUGAUGGUUAGUUUUUGUUUAUCAACUUAGAAUCACUGAGGAAACACACUGCUGGGAAUGUAUACAAUGUUUCCAGAAAGGUUUAACUGAGGAGGGAAGAUUGACUUUGAACGUGAGUGGCACCAUCUCCUAGGCUGAGGUACAGGCACUGAAGAAGGAGAAAGGGAGCUGAGAGCCAGCAUGCCUCACUCUCUGCUUCAUGACAACAGAUGCAAUGUGAUCAGCUGCCUCAUGCUCCUGCCACCAUGUCUGUAUGGACUGUGUUCUCAAACUGUGAGCCAAAAUAUAUCCUCUUUUCCUUGAGUUGCUUUAUAAGAUAUUUUGUCACAGAAAUGAGAAAAGUAACUAAGACAACUAUCAUAAUAAAAU